rnacentral:lncRNA from 1 species
UUCAAGGUGAAUACGGCAGAGGACAUGACAUCUAUAUUUGGGUUGACUGGGGAAUCUCACACAUUAGAAGCUGUACAGAGGAGAGGAGGGAGAUAAAUAAAAUAUCCAUGGACACCUUGCCCUACCUCUUCGCCUCCCCUAAAAAAAUCACAAGGGUCUCAGCAAUUACCACAGUCUAAUACUAAAGGGGGAGCAGGAG